rnacentral:lncRNA from 1 species
UGUGAGCAUCUGCGAUGCUCAUGGCACCUCGCCCUCCAGCCUGAGGUUGUGGGUAGUGAGUGCUGUGUUCAGACAGUGGUCCCAAGUGGAAGAUCGGGUCUUGGACAAACCCUUCCACCGCCACGUGGAGUUUGGCAUGGAGCAGUUUCUAAAUGGAAGUCAUCUUGAUCAGGUGGGCUGCCAACCUCUCUGAGCCUCAGUUUGCUCUUCUAGGGAAUGGGGACAAUGCAAUGGGAAUCUGAGGAUUGUGUGAAAUUGUGCAAAUGCAUGAAUGUGGGCUGGGAUAGUAAAAGGGAGGGCCCCGGAGCAGCCCACCUGGGGUCCUAUCUAGUGGACGCGCCCGGUGCCCACCCAUUGCUGUGAUGCCAGCAGCCCACUGCAAGCAUCCUCUUCCUUUCCAAGGUUCUCUCUGGUACAUGAAUAGGUGUGGCAGGGGUGGGGGCUCCUGAAGACCAACUAGGGGUACUAGGGACCUUAGACUCUUGCGAGAGCCUGCACCCCAUAUCAGGUGGGGUCAAUAGAUAAAUACCCCUGCCUCCUUGCCCCUUAGUUCUGGUGUGGUGGGCAAGUCAGAGGAACUGUUCUUCUCACACUUUCACGUGCUCUCGGUGGAGAUCUGGUUCAAAGGCAGAGGUCUGGGCUGGGGUCUGUGAUUGUGCAUCUCCAACCAGCUCCUGGGGGAUUGGCUCUUGCCGAUGGUCCACGGGCCACACUGAGGAGCGAGGCGUCAUAGCUGCCCAGAGGUUCCCGGUGGAACUGAGCCCUGGUUGCCGGCCAUAGAAACCUUCUCGCUAACCUGAACCAGCUCCUUCUCAAGUUCCCGGUCUCAACCUCCCUUCCUGGGACUGCAUUCCGAAUAAACCACUUCCACUUGGAUCCUGUUUGGGGAUCCAACCUCAGGUGACGCUCCCGCACUCCACCUAUCAGCCGAUGGCCUCGAGCAAGUCACUUGGCCUCUCUGAGCCUCAGUUUCCUUAAUCUUCAAAUGGAGAUGGUAACCAGGAUGUGCAGAAGAUGGCAUGAAUGAACAUGGGGAAAUACCUGUGGCCACCUGGGUUGGAUCUGGAAGCUUCCCUGUGCCUGGCUCUUCCGGACAGAGUGUAGAUGGUCCGUGGGCUUUAGAUUCAGACAGACCCCACUCUUGGUGCCUUGGCUGCUCGGCUCACCUGCCUCAGGCUGGCCCCCACCCAUCUUUCUGGCUUCACCACUGGCCCCUGCCCUGGUGGGAUGCUGCACUCAGCGGGAGAGGAACGCCUGGCAGGACUGUUGAGAGACAAGCCCUGCUGCUGCCUAGAGGACACGCCAGCUCCCAUGCCCACCCUGCCAUCACGUGCCACAGUCAUCAAACCCAAACUGACAGCGGGAGGUGCGGGUUUCUAGCUGGAGAUGCGUUUUGCCGGGGGCGGAUUAUGUGCUGAACAGCGUGAGCUUAGAUGCUGGACCCUGGGAGCCGGAUGGAGCCGGGAGAGUCCGCGUGGGACCAAAGGAGCUGAGACAGGUACCCUGAGGGAGGUGGGACGUUAGGACGAGGAAGAAGAAACGGGCACAGGGGCUGCAGGGAGGCACAGGGUGCAUCAGGGAAAACCGGAAAAAAAUCACCCUUAUGUCCACGUGGCUAGGGGAGGCCUUGCCUCCAUUAUCCCAGGACAG